rnacentral:rRNA from 1 species
UAGGGAAUCUUCCACAAUGGACGAAAGUCUGAUGGAGCAACGCCGCGUGAGUGAAGAAGGGUUUCGGCUCGUAAAACUCUGUUGUUAAAGAAGAACAUAUCUGAGAGUAACUGUUCAGGUAUUGACGGUAUUUAACCAGAAAGCCACGGCUAACUACGUGCCAGCAGCCGCGGUAAUACGUAGGUGGCAAGCGUUGUCCGGAUUUAUUGGGCGUAAAGCGAGCGCAGGCGGUUUUUUAAGUCUGAUGUGAAAGCCUUCGGCUCAACCGAAGAAGUGCAUCGGAAACUGGGAAACUUGAGUGCAGAAGAGGACAGUGGAACUCCAUGUGUAGCGGAGAAAUGCGUAGAUAUAUGGAAGAACACCAGUGGCGAAGGCGGCUGUCUGGUCUGUAACUGACGCUGAGGCUCGAAAGUAUGGGUAGCAAACAGG